ACAAAGCUUGAAGUUCGCUCAACCGCGUCUUCAACAAAUCCAUCCACACCUUGUGCAAUAUUGACAUCGAGGCAAGUUCUUUCGGGAAUUUGCUGGUCUUGUGGGGGGAAAAACCUAAAGGAUAGGCAGCGAUGCUUAACCUUUAAGCCCCCCAAAGUAUUUAACCUAUACGUUUUUUUUUUGGUUUGUCUGAAACUUUUUAUUGAUACAAUAAAAA
rnacentral:misc_RNA from 1 species